rnacentral:rRNA from 1 species
UGCGUAGGCGGUUUGGUAAGUCUUAUGUGAAAUCUAUGGGCUCAACUCAUAGACUGCAUGAGAAACUGCCGGGCUUGAGUAUGGGAGAGGUGAGUGGAAUUCCUGGUGUAGCGGUGAAAUGCGUAGAUAUCAGGAGGAACACCUGUGGCGAAAGCGGCUCACUGGACCAUAACUGACGCUGAUGCACGAAAGCGUAGGGGAGCAAACA